AUUCAGUAGGUUGUCUUUUUAUUUUGUUGACGGUUUCUUUUGCUGUGCAAACUUUUUAGUUUGAUGUUAUGCUACUUAUUUAUUUUUGGUUUUUACUUUACUUUUUUAUUUUACUUUUGGGAUCAUUUACCCCUGCCAGCAAGACAGUGGGGAAAAUGCCUGGACUAUGCAUGCCAGCUGGCUUCAGUGAUGCAGCAGGAUAGUGCCUUUUGUGUGUUUGCCUGCCAGCUUUAGCAAGGGAGUGGGAGAAUGAUGUGACAACUUGUGCUCAGUGGUAUGAGUCGGGGAGCAGAGGAGUGCUGAAACUUCUUACCUCUGCCUGCUUUGGUAAGGCAGCAUGAGGGGGUCACAUCGACAUAUGCCCUCCACAUAUGCUAUCAAGAUAGAGAGGGAGUACAAAAAUGACAUCUGCCAUCACCUCUUUCUCUGAAGAGUCCCAACUGCUCCUGCCCCAGCAUUAAAUAUGUUUACUGUUUCUAAUUUUGUUCUUAGGUAGAAAGUGGAUCAUUUAAAAUUGUACCAGCUCCAAUGGAAAAGAAUCUAAAAAAGACUAUAUAGGAGUUCCCUGGUGGCCUAGCAUGUUAAGGAUCUGGCAUUGUCACUGCUGUGGCUCAGGUCACUGAUGUGGCAUGGGUUUGAACCCUGGCCUCCAGGAACUUCCACAUGCCAUGGCAAUGGCCAAAUGUAAAAAUUAAAUAAAAAAAAAUUUUUAAAGAUUUAUAUAUGUGUAUGUACAUAUAUAUGAAUCAUUUUGCUUUACACCUGAAACUAACACAACAUUGUAAAUCAACCAUAUUUCAAUAAUUUUUUAAAAAACUAAUUACAAUAAAAGUAUUAUACUUAAAAAAUAAAAAUUAAAAAAAAUAAAAUGCUGCCAGGUCUUCUGGAGUUCCAGCUCAGAUCAAUUUAUUUUGGGAAAUUAUAGGAACAUUCUUUUUGUUUGAGAGUUUUUUUAAAAAAUGUUUGCUCAAAUUGCCUUAUCAAACAAUCAUUAAACAUACUUUGUGUUUUAAUUUUUCUCAUUACAACAGGUAAAUACAGAGCUAGAGAUUAGUUUUAAAAACUAUUGAUUUUGCAGCAGUAAGCGCAUAGAGGGUGCCAGAGAGAAGUAAUUAGAAUGCAAGAUAUUUAUAGUUUUGCUGCAGGGCCUCCACCACAGUCUACUAUAGGGGGCAGCACCAGCUCAUGAAUUUCUUUAAUAAACUCAUUUUUUUCAACCAAGGAUAUAUUCAUAGUAAUUUUUAAUAAAUAGAAUCAAAGAAUUUUAGAGGGGUAUCAGGAUUAUCUCUUUUACAUUCUAACACACGAACAAAGAAAUUGAGGGAAGCUCAGGUCAUGUAUCCAAAGUUACACCAAGGAUUUAGUAGUAGAACCAGAAGUAAAAGUACAGAUCUUCAUUCUUUAUUUCAAUUUCCUUCCACCAGACCAAAAAAAUUAGCAACAAUUUACAACAUUUUAAUGCAUCUUUCAUAACACAAUUUUUUUUUGUUUUUAUUGCAGCAUAUGGAAGUUCCCAGGCUAGGGGUCAAAUCAAGCUAUAGCUGCUGGCCUACACCACAGCAGCAUAAGAUCUGAGCCACAUUUGUGACCUACACUGCAGCUUGCAGCAACGCUGGAUUCUUAACCCACUUAAGCGAGGCCAUGAUUGGAAACCAUAGCCUCACAGACACUAUGUCAAGUUCUUAACCCACUGAGCUGAACCAUAAGGGCAACUCCAACAGGAGAAUUUUAAGCAAUUAAAAAAUUAAAACCAAGUGUCAAAUUUUUCUAAUGUUCUAAAUCAUCUUUAAGCACAUGACUAUAGAAUCUACCUCAAUACACCAACCAGAAAGAAGGUCUAACUCUAAAGAAGAAAAUAAAUUACAAUGAUACAAAAAUGAUAACAAUGAAACACUUAAAAUGUUUAUGUCUUAGGUAAUAUAGACAUUUACUUUAUCCAUUCAUCCAUUGAUUACAAUGAUAUCUUCUUGAACUCACAUCUGAGUUCAAUUUAUUAAAAUAUAUAUUUAGGUUUUUUUUUAUAAAAGGCUAUUCAUUGACAGAUUCUUCUGCUUCGAAGACAUAUAAUUGUUGGUUAAAAAUGAACUAUCAGUUGUGCAAAGACAAUCGUGACAUUACCCUGAAUGGGGAAAGGGAAAUAGAGACAAAUGGACAAUUGAAUACAACUCUUGCCUAGAAGUGUCCUAGUCUACCUACUGGCUUGACAGAUGAUGUGCCACAGAUGACGUGGCUGGGGAUGUGGGAAUUUUAUUCAGUGAUCUGGUAAAUGGAGUGAUAGUUAGCAAUGAGGCUCAUUCCUAGCAAUGCUCAGUGUCUAUUUUAUCUCCAUAAUUUGCUUUGCUAUUAUUAUUUUUUCUACUAGUCAGGCCAUUUCUAUUUUUCUCUGUGUUUCCUAUGUUUGGAUGUCUCUCCCCAUGCUACAUGGCUUUGUAGAUUUCUGUUUAUGACAUGUUCAUGGCACUUUUUUGAGAUACAGCCACAGUCCUUGCCUGGAUGUGGAAAUCAGGGAGAACUUAUGCCAUUUUCUUCACUAAUAACUGUAACUUUCAAAGGAAAACUAUGAUUUACACGGCUGGUGUGUUUUGAGAGCUUUACCUUUGUAAAUGAAAUAAAUUGGUUGACAGACAAGGGAGGAAAGCAAAAAUUAUUUUUAUCCUGAUAAGGCUGUUUCCAGGAUAUGCAACAUUCUCUGGCAACAACAGAUGUACAGAGUGUAGAAUCAGUCACCCUCCCUUGUCAGGCAGAGCUGGAAAACAGGAGGGGUCCCUGGUGGAGACUUGCACCUAUAAAACUUACUCAUGGAGGAGUUAGAAAUGUGUGCUCCCUGAAGACAGGCUGCGGCCCCAAAGAGAGACAAAAGGAAAGAAUUGAUUAUGUCCAGUUUCUUCUUUCAAACUCACUUGCUGGAUAAGCCACCCUCGCUCCCUGAAGCAAGUAAAUGCGGGAAUAGAGAACGGCCAACAGUGUUCUCUGGUACCACUGCCAUGACAUUGAAUGUCAGGGGUGGAGAAUGAUUGCUGUAGAGGUUUUUCUGUCCCUUCAAGUCUCUUCUUGGCUUCCUCCCUUAUAUUUUGACUUUUGAUUGUACUGAUUCACAGGGAAGCCUUGAAUACAACUGUAUUUCCUUGACUGGUAAUGUGGCAAAGUUCUGGUCCAUUAAACGUGAAGUCUGGCAACUUCUUGAAAAGAAAACUGACACGUAGCAAUUUGCCUCUCAUUGAUUCCGCCUCUCUGCAGGCUUGAAAAACAGACCAAGUCUUUUAAUAGUGGAUGCCUCUAAGAAGUAGAAUUGGGGAAGUUCUUCUGUAUUUUAUUUUAUUUUUCUUUAUUUUAAAUGCUCCUUUAUUGCUUGGAUUUAUUAUAAUAAUUAUUAAUGUCAUAAUUUUAAAAAUUAAAGAUAUAUUUUAAAAUGUUCCUAUAGCUGGCUCUCCAUAAGAUGCCAUAUUUUAGUCUAUAACUUAGGGCUUCCUGAUCCUAAAGAAAAUUUAAAAUUUACUGAGGGUUUUUCCUUAAUUGCAGUGUAGCAGACCUGCCCCCCAGACACUUACUUAAUAGCUCUGUGGUAAGAUCCACCUGAGUGCCUUAAAAAUUCCCUUAAAUCUCUGUUUUGUGUAGAGCAGGUUGAGAACAAUUGGACAUCAAUCACUAGCUCCUCACUGUUUCAGUGUUACCUAGGAAGCUUUGAAAAGUCCCUUACCCUGACUGAAUCUUAGAUCAACAGCACCAGAAUCUGGAAUUCCAUGGGUGAUUCUAUCAUGUGCAGCCAAACUUGGAAAUAGCUAUUUCUGUAAGCCUCCAGGAAAACUUCCCUCCAAUUUGCAUAUAGCUGAUAAAGUAAACUUUCUUGCUUGUAUCCAUCUCUUAGCCUCACGAAUGGGGUUGCUAGACAAAAUAUAGGAUGCUCAGUUAAAUUUGAAUUGCAAAUAUCCAUUUUCAGUAAAAAAUUAUCCCAGGCAAUUUUUGAGACUUGGACACACGAAAAUUAUUCAGUGCUUAUAUGAAACACAUUUAAUUGGUCUUUCUGUAUUUUACUCGUGAGAUCUGGAAAUGCUACAAACAAAUACUACUCCAAAAAUCUCAGAAGAGUAAUGAAGACUCUCUCUAUGCAAAGGAACUCUAAGGAGAUUGAAUCCUUGAGGAGGAAACAAAGACAGAUCACAAUGCUAAUGACCAGUACAACAACCAUAAAGUCUCUUUUACUCACCUCUCUUCCCCAGUCUAAGUUUUGUAACAACUGGCUCAGUUUCUUGCUGGAUUCCCCACCCAACUCAAUAAAGAAGCAAGUUGCUCCAAAUCUCUGCUCCUAUCACUCCCACUCCUCCUUCAAUCCUUCCUCCUUUCAACCAACUAAACCAACUGCCCUACUUCCAGAUUUUGCUAUAUUUUAUUUUUCUGAACCACGCAGAAAAAAUACAAAACCAAAAAACACAGAGAAAAGUUGGCCUGUGUGGUGUGUAUGUGUGGGUGUGUGUGUGUGCACUCGUGUGCCCAGAACUAUUAGAAACCUUUCUUCAGCUACAACCUGCUUUUGUUCAUGUGGAGUUGUAAGCUUCAGGGUAUAACCUGUCGGUGUUAAACUAGGAAUUUGGGUAAAUUUAUCUCCUAACUGCCGCUUUCAGUGUCUGUUUCAAACUUAAAGCACAGAGGUACCUUCAGUAAAAGGUCUAUUGAAGAGAAAUAAAGGCUAUUGUUUCUGCCAAUUUGUAAAUUUCAUUGUCUAGGAUUCUUCAUUAACUACACAAAUUGCCACUCUAGAUAACAAAUAUGCAAUGAAAGAACAAGAAUAUUUAAAUCGAAUUCAGUGUCUAGUAUUCAGCUGGGGGUGGGGGAGCCUUGUCAGGUAAGUAUUGAGAGUUUUCUACAGAGAUCCGUGAAGUAUCAGAAAAAAAAUGUGCUAGACUUUGUGUGGUCCAGAUUUUGCUCUGAGCACAGCAGCCGCCCUUGCUAACUAAGUGACUCUUGGCGAGAGACAAAGGUCUUGUGCUCCUCUAAUUUGUGCUUCUCCACAUCUGCAUCUGUAAAUUUGAAAGCAUAAUGCCUGACUUGUUUUGAUAACAGUGUUAUUGUGUGAAUUCCAGUGAGAUAAUUUUUGUGCAUUAGAUUGAACCACUUUAAAUAUCAGCAUUUUGACUAGUAUGAGAAAAGAAGGAAGAAUAGGAACAGGGCUUCUUUUGCUAUAUGUACAUGAGGAAAUUUAAGCCAGGCUCUUAGGUAGUCUUUUAUGAAAUAUCAAAGCACACUGGUCCAGAAAUAAUCUCAAAGGAUGAGAGAAAUGCCAGUUAGCAGGCCAACUAUAAGCACAGAUUUUUUUUUUUUUCCAAAGAAAAAGAAAAGAUGAAAAGUGCCAAGCCACAAGAUUAGUUUCCUUGGAGGCUCCUGGCAUCCUAACUGGGGAUCGUGGAUUUCUUAAAUGAUUGUGUUCCCUUCCUUUGGUUAGAUGGAAGCAUUAAGUCAUCUGAACCAAGGAUGAGUCACAGACAAACUUACGGGAAGAUCCCCAAAGUCUGAGUGGUAAAGUAAAUGAAAUGGAAAAAGUGUGUGUGUGUGCCAUGUUUCUAUAUAUCUAGAAAGAUUAGCUGGUUUAAGUUUGCCUUAUGAACCAGAACCAUUUCUGUUUUUAGAGUUCAAGGAAACUGCAUUACAUCUGGCUCCUCUAAGUUUGACUGUGUGAUUAUUUGGAUCAGCUCUGGAGUCAAGUAUACAUUACAGUUUUCAUGAAGUAU
rnacentral:lncRNA from 1 species